rfam:Streptomyces tsukubensis strain F601 Scaffold73_1, whole genome shotgun sequence.
UUUGACGGAGCCGAGCCACAGGGGCCGGUCGGCGUCGCGGUCCUGACCGUAGGUGGCCAGCAGGGCCUGGGCCUC